AUUGAACGCUGGCGGCAGGCCUAACACAUGCAAGUCGAAUGGUAACAGGAAACAGCUUGCUGUUUCGCUGACGAGUGGCGGACGGGUGAGUAAUGUCUGGGAAACUGCCUGAUGGAGGGGGAUAACUACUGGAAACGGUAGCUAAUACCGCAUAACGUCGCAAGACCAAGGAGGGGGACCUUCGGGCCUCUUGCCAUCAGAUGUGCCCAGAUGGGAUUAGCUAGUAGGUGGGGUAACGGCUCACCUAGGCGACGAUCCCUAGCUGGUCUGAGAGGAUGACCAGCCACACUGGAACUGAGACACGGUCCAGACUCCUACGGGAGGCAGCAGUGGGGAAUAUUGCACAAUGGGCGCAAGCCUGAUGCAGCCAUGCCGCGUGUAUGAAGAAGGCCUUCGGGUUGUAAAGUACUUUCAGCGGGGAGGAAGGGAGUAAAGUUAAUACCUUUGCUCAUUGACGUUACCCGCAGAAGAAGCACCGGCUAACUCCGUG
rnacentral:rRNA from 1 species